GAUGAACGCUGGCGGCGUGCCUAAUACAUGCAAGUCGAGCGAAUCAAUAGGAGCUUGCUCCUGUUGGUUAGCGGCGGACGGGUGAGUAACACGUGGGCAACCUGCCUGUAAGACUGGGAUAACACCGGGAAACCGGUGCUAAUACCGGAUAAUUCUUUUCCUCUCAUGAGGAAAAGCUGAAAGUCGGUUUCGGCUGACACUUACAGAUGGGCCCGCGGCGCAUUAGCUAGUUGGUGAGGUAACGGCUCACCAAGGCGACGAUGCGUAGCCGACCUGAGAGGGUGAUCGGCCACACUGGGACUGAGACACGGCCCAGACUCCUACGGGAGGCAGCAGUAGGGAAUCUUCCACAAUGGACGAAAGUCUGAUGGAGCAACGCCGCGUGAGCGAUGAAGGCCUUCGGGUCGUAAAGCUCUGUUGUUAGGGAAGAACAAGUACCGGAGUAACUGCCGGUACCUUGACGGUACCUAACCAGAAAGCCACGGCUAACUACGUGCCAGCCGCCGCGGUAA
rnacentral:rRNA from 1 species